GUAGGGUCCAAGCGUUAAUCGGAAUUACUGGGCGUAAAGCGUGCGCAGGCGGUUGUGCAAGACCGAUGUGAAAUCCCCGGGGCUUAACCUGGGAAUUGCAUUGGUGACUGCACGGCUAGAGUGUGUCAGAGGGGGGGUAGAAUUCCACGUGUAGCAGUGAAAUGCGUAGAGAUGUGGAGGAAUACCGAUGGCGAAGGCAGCCCCCUGGGAUAACACUGACGCUCAUGCACGAAAGCGUGGGGAGCAAACAGGAUUAGAUACCCUGGUAGUCCACGCCCUAAACGAUGUCAACUAGUUGUUGGGGAUUCAUUUCCUUAGUAACGUAGCUAACGCGUGAAGUUGACCGCCUGGGGAGUACGGUCGCAAAGAUUA
rnacentral:rRNA from 1 species